GAUGAACGCUGGCGGCGUGCUUAACACAUGCAAGUCGAGCGAGAAGUUUUGAAAAGAUUCUUCGGAUGAAAUUUAAAAUGGAAAGCGGCGGACGGGUGAGUAACGCGUAGGCAACCUGCCCCAUACAAAGGGAUAGCAUUUGGAAACGAAUAUUAAUACCUUAUGAAACUUAACUAGUGCAUGCUAGGUAGGUCAAAGAUUUAUCGGUAUGGGAUGGGCCUGCGUCUGAUUAGCUAGUUGGUGAGGUAACGGCUCACCAAGGCGACGAUCAGUAGCCGACCUGCGAGGGUGAACGGCCACAUUGGAACUGAGACACGGUCCAAACUCCUACGGGAGACAGCAGUGGGGAAUAUUGCACAAUGGGGGAAACCCUGAUGCAGCAACGCCGCGUGAACGAUGAAGGCCUUUGGGUCGUAAAGUUCUGUUCUAGGUGAUGAAAACUGACAGUAACCUAGGAGAAAGCCCCGGCUAACUCCGUG
rnacentral:rRNA from 1 species